CCUACGGGUGGCAGCAGUGAGGAAUAUUGGUCAAUGGGCGCAAGCCUGAACCAGCCAAGUCGCGUGAGGGAUGACGGUCCUAUGGAUUGUAAACCUCUUUUGUCGGGGAGCAAGGCCCGCCACGUGUGGCGGGAAGGAGAGUACCCGAAGAAAAAGCAUCGGCUAACUCCGUGCCAGCAGCCGCGGUAAUACGGAGGAUGCGAGCGUUAUCCGGAUUUAUUGGGUUUAAAGGGAGCGUAGAUGGGUUGUUAAGUCAGUUGUGAAAGUUUGCGGCUCAACCGUAAAAUUGCAAUUGAUACUGGCAGUCUUGAGUACAGUUGAGGCAGGCGGAAGUCGUGGUGUAGCGGUGAAAUGCUUAGAUAUCACGAAGAACCCCGAUUGCGAAGGCAGCCUGCCGCAGCGUUACUGACGCUGAAGCUCGAAAGCGCGGGUAUCGAACAGGAUUAGAUACCCGGGUAGUC
rnacentral:rRNA from 1 species